rnacentral:rRNA from 1 species
GGUGUAACGAUUUGGGCACUGUCUCAAGGAGAGACUCGGUGAAAUUGUAGUGGCGGUGAAGAUGCCGCCUACCCGCAGCAGGACGAAAAGACCCCGGAACCUUUACUGCAGUCUGGUAUUGAGUGUGAGAAUUAUUUGUGUAGGAUAGGUGGGAGGCUGUGAAGCUAUGCCGCUAGGUAUGGCAGAGCCAUUGGUGAAAUACCACCCUGAUAAUUUUUAUAUUCUAACUUCGACCCUUGAAUCAGGGCGAGGAACAGUGCCAGAUGGGCAGUUUGACUGGGGCGGUUCCCUUCUAAAAUGUAACGAAGGGGUUCAAAGGUUCCCUUAGGACGGUUGGCAAUCGUCUUUCAAGUGCAAGGGCAUAUGGGAGCUUAACUGCGAGUCCGACAGGACGAGCAGAUGGGAAACCAGGACCUAGUGAUCCGGUGGUAGAUCAUGGGAUUGCCAUCGCUCAACGGACAAUAGGUACUCCGGGGAUAACAGGCUGAUAGCGUUCGAGAGUUCAUAUCGACAACGCUGUUUGGCACCUCGAUGUCGGCUCAUCGUAUCCUGGGGCUGGACAAGGUCCCAAGGGUCCGGCUGUUCGCCGGUUAAAACGGUACGCGAGCUGGGUUUAGAACGUCGUGAGACAGUUCGGUCUCUAUCCGCUGUGGGCGUUCGAUGCUUGAAGGGGAGCUCUCUCUAGUACGAGAGGACCGGGAGAGACAAACCUCUGGUGUUCCAGUUAUCCUGCCAAGGGUAAUGGCUGGGUAGCUACGUUUGGAAGGGAUAAGCGCUGAAUGCAUCUAAGUGCGAAGCCCCCCCCAAGAUUAGGCAUCGUAGUCGCAAGACGUGAGGCUCCUCGUAGACGACGAGGUUGAUAGGCUGCAUGUGUAAGACCAGUAAUGGUUUUAGCUAAGCAGUACUAAUAUGCCGAAUGCUUGACCUU